rnacentral:lncRNA from 1 species
CGCCGGCUGCCAUGCUUCAGCAAGUGUGGCAUCUGGCGCAGAAGCAACCGGCCCCUAUGCCCCAGCAGCCUCACGACGUGUGGUAUCCAGCUAAAAUGGUCCAGAAGCAACAACAAAUUGAACUGACCGCCAUGCUUCAGACACAUCAGCAAGUGUGGCAUCCAGCUCAAUUUCCCCAGCAGCAGAAGCAACCGGCCUCCAUGCCUCUUCCGCAGGAGAAACCGACCGCCAUACCCAAGCAAGUGUGGUAUCCAGCUCAAAUGUCCCAGCAGCAACUGGCCUCCAUGCCUCUACCGCAGAAGCAACUGACCCCCGUGCCUCAGCAAUUAUGGCAUGUAGCUCAAAUGCCCCAGAAGCAACUUGCCCCAAUGUCUCAGCAGAAGCACUACGAAAGCACUGAAGAUGGUGUCUCUGGUAGCUCUCAGGCCAGCAUUGUUGAACAGUUGGGUGUCAUCCCAAUCUAUUCCUACAGUUCCAAAUCGCACUACGAGAAGGGCAGAACUGUCUUCUCCCAAACCCGCUACACUCCUAGGGAGGCUAUGCCUGUUGACAGUGGAAAUGCUCCCAAGGACAGUUAUGUUGGCAUUGGUGCACCAAGCAUGCAUCCACCACUAGUGAAGGAUUCUGCAAGGUAAUGGUUAACUUUAACCUUCUCUUAACUUUGCUCUCUGACUUUGAAGUUCUGUGUACUAACCAUGUGUUUAUCAACAGGGAAAUGUAACGGAGUCAUCCUCUAGAAGCUCUACUGGUGAGAAUUGUUUUUGACAUUGGUUACUUAACAUUCUGUGUUGCUGACACUGUUUGCAUUUCUUUCUGCUUUUGUUUCGACCAGGAAGUUGCUGGUGCUCAAGCGUGAUGGAAUCAAUAAACAAUUUUAUUUUCAAAAAUGUUUUGUCUCUUUGAAAUAAUGAUUCUUGUGUCCAUUGCUUGCUAAUUGAGAACAG